UGAUAGCUCAGUUGGUAGAGCAUGAGACUCUUGAUCUCAGGGUCAUGGAUUUGAGCCCCACAUUGGGUGAA
rnacentral:tRNA from 1 species